rnacentral:rRNA from 1 species
GGGUUUCACCAGAAGUAGGUAGCCUAACCGCAAGGAGGGCGCUUACCACGGUGGGAUUCAUGGCUGGGGUGAAGUCGUAACAAGGUAGCCGUAGGUGAACCUGCAGAAGGAUCA